UACGGGGGGAGCAAGCGUUGUUCGGAUUUACUGGGCGUAAAGGGCGCGUAGGCGGCCUGUGCAAGUCAGUUGUGAAAUCUCCGGGCUUAACUCGGAAAGGUCAACUGAUACUGCUCGGCUAGAGUGCGGAAGGGGCAACUGGAAUUCUUGGUGUAGCGGUGAAAUGCGUAGAUAUCGAGGGGAACACCUGAGGCGAAGGCGGGUUGCUGGGCCGACUCUGACGCUGAAGUGCGAAAGCCAGGGGAGCGCACGGG
rnacentral:rRNA from 1 species